CUUUAUUUAUUUAAUUAUUUUGGGCACUCCAUAUUUUAAUUAAUUAGACUUCUUUGAGUUUGAUUAAUUAUUUUCAAAGACUAGUUUUCAUAAUAAUAUUAAAUUAUUAUUAUGUGCAUAUUUUAAGUAAUUACUUAGUAUAUGUUAAGCAUGACAUGAAAUUGCAUUUAUUUUGCAAUAAAAGUAUUUAUGAUUUAAUUGGUUUUAAUUAUAAUUCCAAUUUUUAAAGAAAAUCGAGUAAGGAUAUUGUUGGUGUCCUUAACUCAAGAAAUUUAGUUUUCAAUUAUUUAUUCAUUAAAUUUUUGAAAACCCGGCUAAGUGAAUCAUAGAAUAUUAAGCACUACACCAUGACUUAAGAUUAGCUUCACGAGACCUAUUAAGAAUAGAAUUUCUUGUAGGCUUUGUGACCAGGGGGAUUAGCGCUGCUUUCCCAAGACAGGUUUAUAUGUGAUUAUGAUCUUCAGGCUUUGCCUAACCAGGUUGGCUGGCUGGUGCUGACGGGACGGAGCUGAGGCUAGAGUUAAAAUUCAUAUGUUAGACUUCCGCUGUAGCAAUUACUCUUAUACAUCUUUUGUUUUCUCAACUUAAGAUGACUUCAUUUGAACUUCAAUUUGAAAUUCUAGUUUUAUGCUAAUAAAUGUCGGUUGUCAGAAGCAUGAAACAAAACUUGUGAUCCAAAGGGGCAUAGCCCGACUUUCUAUCCUAUUUCGGGUUUUUAUAAGGUA